rnacentral:rRNA from 1 species
CCCUAGUAGCGGCGAGCGAAGCGGGAAAAGCUCAAAUUUGUAAUCUGGCGUCUACGACGUCCGAGUUGUAAUCUCGAGAAGUGUUUUCCGUGAUAGACCGCAUACAAGUCUCUUGGAACAGAGCGUCAUAGUGGUGAGAACCCAAUACACGAUGCGGAUGCCUAUUACUUUGUGAUACACUUUCGAAGAGUCGAGUUGUUUGGGAAUGCAGCUCAAAUUGGGUGGUAAAUUCCAUCUAAAGCUAAAUAUUGGCGAGAGACCGAUAGCGAACAAGUACCGUGAGGGAAAGAUGAAAAGCACUUUGGAAAGAGAGUUAACAGUACGUGAAAUUGUUGGAAGGGAAACACAUGCAGCCAGACUUGCUAUUCGGGGCAACUCGAUUGGCAGGCCCGCAUCAGUUUUUCGGGGCGGAAAAGCAUAGAGAGAAGGUAGCAAUUUCGGUUGUGUUAUAGCUCUUUAUUGGAUUCGCCCUGGGGGACUGAGGAACGCAGCGUGCUUUUAGCAUAAGCUUCGGCUUAUCCACGCUUAGGAUGCGGGUGUAAUGGCUGUAUAUGGUCCGUCUUGAAACACGGACCAUAAAACAGCCAUUACACCCGCAUCCU